ensembl:lncRNA LRRC77P leucine rich repeat containing 77, pseudogene
GUUGUUGUUUAUGUAAGAAUUUCAAGGCCACAACUCCAUAUUUGAAGUAAAGUGCUCAUAAAAUUAAUUGCAAGACUUCUGAAGAGAGAUUUGCUAGGAAAAAUAAAAAGAUAUAUAAAUUUCAGUGAUGCUGAAGGUUUUGAGAAGCCAUCUGCAGCUCACAACUAGAUGAGUGACACAAUCAGAUGUGCGUAUGCAAAAAAAAGCCUGGAGACAUUGAACUAAGAUCAAAUUUAAUGUAUUAAAUAUGGUAGAAAGAAGAGAGAAUGAAAAAUAAUGUUAACAAUCUAGGUGAGGAAUUGCUGAGGAGACAAAUUAAGUAAAUCCUGUGGAAGGAAAGAAGAAAGGAGGAAAGAGGAUUGGAUGGAAGAAUCUCCACUUCUCAGUGUAGUCCUUCCUUAGCCUGCUUUUUAAUGAGUGCUGCUAAAGCCCUUAGCCUGCCUGUUUACCCUUGGAGUGAAUCCGUGGAAGACCCCCAAAAGAGGCUGCAGAUUCUUAGUGGACAGCUCUCAUAUCCCCUCCAGGGAAAAUGAUGAAAAAUGUCUUCAGAAAAAUAGCUUUAUGAAGGCAAGAGGACUUUUUGCACCUGCAAGACAUGUCUGAAAGCUCCUCAGGUCAAAACACAAGUAGUCAAGAGAUUUGUCCAUCUAAUUCAUCAUACUACUCUGAUCCAAGUGAGACCCACACUGGGUCAGCUCCAUCAAGGAGAAGAACAUUCCACCCACGUUUGGAUUCUGGAAUAUCAUCCUUGCUUCCAUCAGAUUCUUGUAAGUACCUCACUUGGCACAAGGUAGACAUGACGUUCAAGGAAGUCAACUGCGUUGCCCAAGAGUAAGAGAAGGAAUCUCUGAAGAAGAGCAACUUUUCAGACAGGUAGAGUGUGCCUUGCUCCCAAGGAAAAGAGUUCUUGAAAAAAACAAAUGGGAAACAUGGCUACAAGAAAACUGGGAAGACUGCAAGAGUAUUCUCCUGUUUGCCAAACUUAAAAAUGCUGGAUGGAAUCUUGAAGCUACCAGAAGAUUGCUUAUCACCAGAAACCAAUAUUUUUUCAAAAAUAUGCCUUGUAUCCUAAUGCAGUCUGUAUAGAAAGAAAGCAAUCAUCAUUGUUGCUAAAAGCUAAUAAACACAGGACAUGCAUGAUUAAA